UCCAUUUGCAACCGCAGGCUAAUCACUUC
rnacentral:sRNA from 1 species